rnacentral:rRNA from 1 species
AUUGAACGCUGGCGGCAUGCCUUACACAUGCAAGUCGAACGGCAGCACGGGAGCUUGCUCCUGGUGGCGAGUGGCGAACGGGUGAGUAAUGCAUCGGAACGUGCCCUGAAGUGGGGGAUAACGUAGCGAAAGUUACGCUAAUACCGCAUAUUCUGUGAGCAGGAAAGCAGGGGAUCUUCGGACCUUGCGCUUUUGGAGCGGUCGAUGUCGGAUUAGCUAGUUGGUGGGGUAAAGGCCCACCAAGGCGACGAAUCCGUAGCGGGUCUGAGAGGAUGAUCCGCCGACACU